CUGUUGUUACAGAAAACAAGCUCUGAAAGCUCUCGUCCUUCUGAUGACGAGCAGCUGAUGACCUCUGACCUCACAGGCAGCAGAUGGAGUCAUCCCCCUGUGGAAACGCUGUCACUCGACGGUUUGAGGGACUCGUGAAAAUGAGGAACAAGAACUCGGCGGUCUCUUGUAAAUGGCACGACGGGCCUCAGGGGUACAGGGGUCAGAGACUAAAAUAGAAGAGGACGUGUUUUCAUGAAAACACCUGAGAAGAUCCUUUGAAGACCGAGACGUUCAGAGACCUUUACAGGGAAACGCUGCACAGUGUACCCGACAUUCUCUGUCCCCGUCAGUCCCCACCUGAAUACUGAUCUAAAGGUGAACGAUAUGAUGGAUUCUGAGCUGAGAUGAGUUUCACUGUGAUCAUGCAAACUACUCCUCUCCAUUUGCAUGAUGCAAAGAGGAUUUUCUUUUUUUUCAUUUCAGAUAGAAGCAGAUACUCUGGUCUCAGCACUCCUGACCUUUAUUCAAGCCAUC